AUGUGUAACACACCAACUUACUGUGACCUGGGAAAGGCUGCUGAGGAUGUCUUCAACAAAGGAUAUGGCUUUGGCAUGGUGAAGACAGACCUGAAAACCAAGUCUUGUAGUGCAGUGGAAUUUUCUACAUCUGAUCAUGCUUACAGUGAUACAGGGAAAGCAUCAGGCAACCUAGAACCCGAAUGUAAGGUCUGCAACUAUGGACUCACCUUCACUCAAAAACGGAACACAGACAAUACUCUUGGGACAGAAACCUCUUUGGAGAAUAAGUUGGCUGAAGGGUUGAAACUGAGUCUUGAUACCAUAUUGGUACCGAACACAGGAAAGAAGAGUGGGGAAUUGAAGGCCUCCUAUAAAUGGGAUUGUUUUAGUGUUGGCAGUAAUGUUGAUAUAGAUUUUUCUGGACCAAGCAUCUAUGGCUGGGCUGUGUUGGUCUUUGAAGGGUGGCUUGCCGGCUAUCAGAUGAGUUUUGACAUAGCCAAAUCCAAAUUGUCACAGAAUAAUUUCGCCCUGGGUUACGAGGCUGCAGACUUCCAGCUGCACACACAUGUGAACGAUGGCACUGAAUUUAGAGGUUCUAUCUACCAGAAGGUUAAUGAGAUUGAAAUGUCAAUAAACCUUGCUUGGACGGCUGGGAGUAAGAACACCCGUUUUGGCAUUGCUGCUAAGUACAAGCUGGAUUGUAGAACUUCUCUCUCUGCUAAAGUAAAUAAUGCCAGCCUGAUUGGACUGGGUUGUACUCAGACCCUUCGACCCGGAGUCAAGUUGACCCUUUAUCAGCUUUAAUCGAUGGAAAGAACUUCAGUGCAGGAGGUCACAAGGUUGGCUUGGGAUUUGAACUGGAAGCUUAAUGUGGUUUGAGGAAAGCAUCAGAUUUGUCCCUGGAAGUGAAGAGAAAUGAACCCACCAUGUUUUGGCCUUACAAUUCUUCUGUGAAAUUUCAAG